AGAAAAUGAAUUUAUUUUAAUUCCAACAAAAAUGAUUUACAAAAACAUUUGUAAAUUUAGUUAUUAAAUUUAUAUGCAUUGCAUAUUUAUUUAAUUUAGCAUUCAAAGCAUUUUCACGAGCUUUUAUUUAAGCAAACACUGAAGAAUUAUUACAGUUUUCAUAGUACAACCCGGAAGACUUUUUAUUUUAUUAUUUUAUUCCUCCCACUACUCCCACCUAUUUCCACUCACACGUUACUUUUGUCUUCCACCCACCCACCUAUUUCCACUCACACUCUUUAUUUUCCACCCACGACACUUUCCCUGCAACUUUAAUUCAUUCACACUCACAUACUCCCUUCUUUUGCAACUCAACUUUUAGGCUGUCUUGUCUCCCAACACUGCACUAUAACUUAAAGAAAUAUCCUUAGUAAAAACUCCUCCUAAGCAAAAACAAACUCCUCCUCAUCCUUGCUGGAACGAUUCUGAUCCUUUAAACACCAGAAGUAAUCAGCCAAGGCAGGUAGAACCAGCAAAACAAGCCGAUCAACUCCUCAAGGCUUUGUGAUGACCAGGAGGAUUAGCGCUACUUUUCCAAGACAGGUUUAUAUGUGUAUGAUCUUCAGGCUUUGCCUAUCCAGGUUGGCUGGCCGGUGCUGACGGGACGGAGCUGAGGCUAGCGAUAAAUUCCUAUGUUAGACUUCCGCUGUAGCAAUUACUCAUAUCAGUCUUUUGUUUUCCCAACUUAAGAUCUUCAUGUUAAAUUUCAAAUGAUAUACCUGACAGAGCUUAGACUCUUCACUACUAAAUUUAUGCUAAUGAAUGUCGGUUGUCAGAAGCAUGAAACAAAACUUAUGAUCCAAAGGGGCAUAGCCCGAGUUUCUAUCCUAUUUCAGGUUUUAACAAGGUAUUUUCCUUGUUUAUUUUUAUGAAU